CGAACGCUGGCGGCGUGCUUAACACAUGCAAGUCGAACGGCAAGGCCCUGCUUGCAGGGUACUCGAGUGGCGAACGGGUGAGUAACACGUGGGUGAUCUGCCCUGCACUUCGGGAUAAGCCUGGGAAACUGGGUCUAAUACCGGAUAGGAGCCAUUUUUAGUGUGAUGGUUGGAAAGUUUUUUCGGUGUAGGAUGAGCUCGCGGCCUAUCAGCUUGUUGGUGGGGUAAUGGCCUACCAAGGCGGCGACGGGUAGCCGGCCUGAGAGGGUGGACGGCCACAUUGGGACUGAGAUACGGCCCAGACUCCUACGGGAGGCAGCAGUGGGGAAUAUUGCACAAUGGGCGCAAGCCUGAUGCAGCGACGCCGCGUGGGGGAUGACGGCCUUCGGGUUGUAAACUCCUUUCGCUAGGGACGAAGCUUUUUGUGACGGUACCUAGAUAAGAAGCACCGGCUAACUACGU
rnacentral:rRNA from 1 species